rnacentral:rRNA from 1 species
UUGACCUCAGAUCAGGUAGGACUACCGCCUGAACUUAAGCAUAUCAAUAAGGCGAGGAACAGAAACCAACAGGGAUUCCCCUAGUAGUGGCGAAUGAAGCGGGAAAAGCUCAAGUUUGAAAUCCGGUGGGGUCAUCCCCUCCAGAGUUGUAAGCUGAAGAGGCGUCGACCGACGUUGUCCGGGCCCAAUUUCCUUGGAACAGGAGGUCAUGGAGGGUGAGAACCCCGUCUGUGGCUCGGAGCCAACGUCCUUGUGUCGUGUCCUCGAAGAGUCGGGUUGUUUGGGAAUGCAGCUCAAAAUGGGUGGUAAAUUCCAUCUAAGGCUAAAUACAGGCGAGAGACCGAUAGCGAACAAGUACCGUGAGGGAAAGAUGAAAAGAACUUUGAAAAGAGAGUUAAACAGUACGUGAAAUUGUUGAAAGGGAAACGAUUCAAGUCAGUCGCGUCGCCCGGUAAUCAACCCUUUGCUAAAAGAGGGCUCACUUUCUGGGUCGACGGGUCAGCGUCAGUUUUGACCGUCAGAUAAAGGCGCGAGGAAUGUGGCAUCUUCGGAUGUGUUAUAGCCUCCCGUCGCAUGUGAUGGUUGGGAUUGAGGAUCUCGACACGCCGCAAGGUCGGGGCUUUCGCGCCCACGUAACG